rnacentral:rRNA from 1 species
AGGGAAAGGUGAAAAAGAACUUUUAAGAGUUAAAAGAUCCUAAAAUUUAGUGCAAUUAGCUGCUAAAGUUUUUUAAUAAAAAAUAAUAGUGUACCUUUUGCAUAAUGGGCCAGUGAGUUUAUAAUUUUGGCAAGUUUAAGUUAGAUGUAGACAAAGAUAAGUCACGUAGUUUUAAAAAGCUAGAGUCAUAAUUAUAAAACCCGAAGCUAAGUGAUCUAACCAUGAGCAGGUUGAUAAAUAUGCGGUAACGCUGUUUGAAGGACCGAACCCGUACCUGUAGAAAAAGGUUGGGAUGACUUGUGGUUAGGAGUGAAAGGCUAAUCAAAUUCGGAUAUUGCUGGUUUUCUGCGAAAUCUAUAUAAGUAGAGCGUUAUAUAAUUUGCUUUUGGGGUAGAGCACUCAAUGAAUUAGGGGGAUUUCACGUCUUACCGAGUUCAAGGAAACUCCGAAUACAAAAGUUAAAAAUAUAGCAGACAGACUUUGGGUGCUAAGAUCCUGAGUCGAGAGGGAAACAGCCCAGAUUGCUUAUUAAGGCCUCUAAAUUUUAUCUUAGUGGUAAAGGAUAUAAAUAAACAUUGACAACUAAAAGAUAGGCUUGGAAGUAGCCACUCUUUAAAGAAGGUGUAAUAACCCAUUGGUUUAGUUUAUUUAGGCCGAAAAUGUAUAGAGACUAAAGAUAAAUGCCGAAAUAGCAAACAUAAUAUAUUAUAAUAUUCAUUUUAAUGGUAUUAAUAAAAUACUAUGUGGUAGCAGAACAUUCUGUAUUAUUGCUGAAAGAUAAGCUGUGAAGUUUAUUUAAAAAUCAGAAGAGAAAAUGUUAGUAUGAGUAACGUUAAACAAUGUAUAAAUAACAUUGUCGCCGAAAAUCCAAGGUUUUCUAAGCAAGGAUAUACCGCUUACGAGUUAGACGGCCCCUAAGAAAAAAGCGAAAG